rnacentral:lncRNA from 1 species
UACCCCUCAAAGAGUUGCAAAGUGGAAACAAUACAUCUUCAUUAGUUUAACAAAUAUUUGAACACAUACUCUGGGGUAGGGCCUGUGCUACAUGCUCGCUGUGAAAACACGAACUUGGCCUCUGCUCUCAGGAAUGUGUUCUUGUUGGAGAAGACUGGUAAAUGAGGGUCAUGUAGUUAUAAACUUCGAUAAGUGCCAGGAUGGACAAGUAAAAGGGGCAAUGAGGAAGUCUAGUAGAGAAGUUUACCCUAGUGUGGGGGUAAGGAAAGAGUUUUCUGAUCUGAGGAAGUGAUAUUUAAGCUAAAACUGGAUGGAUGGGUUUCAAGUAGCCAGAGACUGAGUCCUGGAAAGAAUGUUAUGACAGAGAAAGGUGAGCCAUGCAGCUCAAGCACAGGAGAGAGGGCAAGGUGCCACGGAGGCAGGUGGCCUGUCGGAAACUGAGGACUACUUGCAUCAAAUUAGAAAGAAUGUGAUAUUCCUGCCUGACCCAGAAUCUUCUAGACACAUGGAUACCUUUGAACAAAUUACCUUGUUUGCAUACCUUUGUUUCCUUUCCCUUUGGUUUCUUUAAUUUCAUACCCAAGGACUUUUGUAUCACUUAGUUCCAAGGCUUUUUCUUGAUCAGCAGAUUUAAAAUUCACAUAACCAAAUCUCCUACAGAGAUGUAGAAGAAAAGGGAAAAAGCACACACAGGUAAGAUGAAAAGCAUAUGCCUCUGGUUAGCUAAUCACG